GAUGAACGCUGACAGAAUGCUUAACACAUGCAAGUCAACUUGAACUUCGGUUUGGGUGGCGGACGGGUGAGUAACGCGUAAAGAACUUGCCUCACAGAUAGGGACAACAUUUGGAAACGAAUGCUAAUACCUGUUAUUAUGAUUUUAGGGCAUCCUAGGUUUAUGAAAGCUAUAUGCGCUGUGAGAGAGCUUUUCGUCCCAUUAGCUAGUUGGAGAGGUAACGGCUCACCAAGGCGAUGAUGGGUAGCCGGCCUGAGAGGGUGAUCGGCCACAAGGGGACAGAGACACGGCCCUAACGCAUAAGGGAGGCAAGAGUGGGGAAUAAUGGACAAAGGACCAAGAGUCUGAUGAAGCAAUUCUGUGUGCACGAUGAAGUUUUUAGGAAUGAAAAGUGCUUUAAGUUGGGAAGAAAAAAAUGACGGUACCAAAAGAAGAAGUGACGGCUAAAUACGUG
rnacentral:rRNA from 1 species